AUAUAAAAUGACUCUCGGCAACGGAUAUCUCGGCUCUUGCAUCGAUGAAGAACGUAGCGAAAUGCGAUACUUGGUGUGAAUUGCAGAAUCCCGUGAACCAUCGAGUCUUUGAACGCAAGUUGCGCCUGAAGCCAUUAGGCUGAGGGCACGCCUGCCUGGGUGUCACAC
rnacentral:rRNA from 2 species